UCAAUUUCAGUUGAUCAUUUACAUCAGCUAACGGCCAAGAUGCCUAAAACAUGUUGUGCAUAAACCAUAAGUUGAUGUUAUAUCGUUUUACAAAUUUCGAAAAGAAGAGACCAGACGCCGCUUCUGGGUAGAGGCACUAAAACGUGACAACCGGCCUCGGUGGCGUCGUGGCAGGCCAUCGGUCUACAGGCUGGUUUACAGUAGUCUAUAAGUGACGGUGGAUAUGGUUGAACGGAAAAUCUUAAACCUCACGGGUUUGAGAUGGGUUUCGUCUUCGUGAUCUGCAAUAAACUGUGCAAAGCUUCAUAACCAGUUGUUGUCAUUUCGUGUACCGAGCACCCUGUUACAUUUGGAGCCGACGUAGGGACAUCUACAGUUUUCAGUGGAUCAACGGAACAUUUCAAAGUUCAUUUCGACGAAAGUGGAAGUGACUGUUUAAAUUAUUUGGUGACAUUAACAUUUAUAUUGUGAUUGUG